rnacentral:rRNA from 1 species
UACGUAGGGUGCAAGCGUUAAUCGGAAUUACUGGGCGUAAAGCGUGCGCAGGCGGUUAUGUAAGACAGUUGUGAAAUCCCCGGGCUCAACCUGGGAAUUGCAUCUGUGACUGCAUAGCUAGAGUACGGUAGAGGGGGAUGGAAUUCCGCGUGUAGCAGUGAAAUGCGUAGAUAUGCGGAGGAACACCGAUGGCGAAGGCAAUCCCCUGGACCUGUACUGACGCUCAUGCACGAAAGCGUGGGGAGCAAACAGGAUUACGAA